rnacentral:rRNA from 1 species
AACGUAGGUGGCAAGCGUUAUCCGGAUUUACUGGGCGUAAAGCGUGUGCAGGCGGAGCGAUAAGUGGUGUAUGAAAGCGCCCGGCUCAACCGGGCAGGGUUAUGCCAGACUGUCGUUCUAGAGGGCGAGAGAGGGGCAUGGAAUUCCGGGUGUAGUGGUGAAAUGCGUAGAUAUCAAGUGGAACACCAGUGGCGAAGGCGGCAUCCUGGACCAAUACUGACGCUGAGGAGCGAAAGCCAGGGGAGCAAACGGG